UGUUUGAUGUUCUAACGUGGACCCGUGAUCCGGGUUGCGGACAGUGUCUGGUGGGUAGUUUGACUGGGGCGGUCUCCUCCUAAAGAGUAACGGAGGAGCACGAAGGUUGGCUAAUCCUGGUCGGACAUCAGGAGGUUAGUGCAAUGGCAUAAGCCAGCUUGACUGCGAGCGUGACGGCGCGAGCAGGUGCGAAAGCAGGUCAUAGUGAUCCGGUGGUUCUGAAUGGAAGGGCCAUCGCUCAACGGAUAAAAGGUACUCCGGGGAUAACAGGCUGAUACCGCCCAAGAGUUCAUAUCGACGGCGGUGUUUGGCACCUCGAUGUCGGCUCAUCACAUCCUGGGGCUGAAGUAGGUCCCAAGGGUAUGGCUGUUCGCCAUUUAAAGUGGUACGCGAGCUGGGUUUAGAACGUCGUGAGACAGUUCGGUCCCUAUCUGCCGUGGGCGCUGGAGAACUGAGGGGGGCUGCUCCUAGUACGAGAGGACCGGAGUGGACGCAUCACUGGUGUUCGGGUUGUCAUGCCAAUGGCACUGCCCGGUAGCUAAAUGCGGAAGAGAUAAGUGCUGAAAGCAUCUAAGCACGAAACUUGCCCCGAGAUGAGUUCUCCCUGAGACUUUAAGUCUCCUGAAGGAACGUUGAAGACGACGACGUUGAUAGGCCGGGUGUGUAAGCGCAGCGAUGC
rnacentral:rRNA from 1 species